GGUUUCUGCCCAAUGUGAGGUUACAAAAAGCGAUGAUGCUGCCAUGCAUAUGCCGUCUAGUGUACAUUCCUUCUUAAGUGUAGUACCCAAAAUCCAUCCUUUGGAUCUGUCCAUCACUGCCACAUUCGUCGAUCACCGACAACCCAACUUCCGGUUACCCCUUGCUUGAACCUCCGCACCGGAAAAUCGAUGAGAAUUUUUGUGCCCCCUAUUCAUUGCUGUCGAACUUUCCCUGUGACUGAAAUUAACAUUAACAUACUUGGAAUUGAUAUUUCAUUCUGAAUCCAUCGCCGACGGGUUGGGAUCUCUCCGGAAAAGUGCUGGAUUAUUGUAAUCAGGGUCGCCCACUUCGGUUCUUCGCUUCUUCAUUGUCCACGCGCGUCAACGUCGCCUGGGAGGCAGCU
rnacentral:misc_RNA from 1 species